rnacentral:rRNA from 1 species
UCGAGAAUCUUCCGCAAUGGGCGCAAGCCUGACGGAGCGAUGCCGCGUGAGGGAUGAAGGCCUUCGGGUUGUAAACCUCUGUCACCCGGGACGAAGCAAGUGACGGUACCGGGAGAGGAAGCACCGGCUAACUACGUGCCAGCAGCCGCGGUAAUACGUAGGGUGCGAGCGUUAUUCGGAUUUACUGGGCGUAAAGGGUCCGCAGGGGGUUUGCCAAGUCCGGUGUGAAAUCCCGCAGCUCAACUGCGGAACGGCAUUGGAUACUGGUGAACUACAGAGUGCACGAGGGGUGAGUGGAAUUCCUGGUGUAGCGGUGGAAUGCGCAGAUAUCAGGAGGAACACCGAUGGCGAAGGCGGCUCACUGGCGUGCUACUGACCCUCAGGGACGAAAGCGUGGGGAGCAAACAGGAUUAGAUACCCUGGUAGUCCACGCUGUAAACGGUGCGCACUAGAUGUGGGCGGAUUCUGAUCCCGUCCGUGUCCAAGCCAACGCGUUAAGUGCGCCGCCUGGGGACUACGGCCGCAAGGCUA